AUGCCACACGCGAGGGGAACCGUGUGCAAAGGUCUUCAGAAUGGCUGCCAGGCCGAGCUGGGCUUGUCUGAGGUAAAUUUUACAAUUAACAGCCAAGAAGAAGCCCCGCCUCCAAAACGGCCGUUUUUUUUUAGCCUUGGUCCCACCCCUUCUCCAUGUGUCGCCACCCGAUUGGACGAUUCUCCCGCACGUCACAGGCUCAGACAGGGAUUCGCCAAUUUGGGCGGGAAAGCAGGGAGCUGUUCGACGCAUGCGCACUCCGUUGUGAUCUAUAAUAUAUGUUCGCCUCCCAAUCCGGCCGCCUUUUCCGCCUUGGUCCCACCCUUUUUCCAUGUGUCGCCGCCCGAUUGGAGGAUUCUCCCGCACAUCACAGGCUCAGACAAGCCAAAUUGGGCGGGAAAGCAGGGAGCUGCCCGACGCAUGCGCACUCCGUUGUCAUCUAAAAUAUGUAUUAAAUAUAUACCGCAUUUUAUGAUUUUUAACUUAUGAUUUAUAAUUUAUGAUUUAUAACAUACUCGUGGUGUAUUAUAGAUAUUGUGGUAUAUGAUUAAUAUAGUACAAUCUAAGAAAUCAUAAUUGGUUUCCCAGAAGCAUUCUCUCCUGACGUUUCGCCCACAUCUCUUAUGCAACUUAUGAUUUAGCACUAAAAUGUGACAUAAUACUAAUAAUAUAAUAUACUCGUGGUGUAUUAUAGACAUUGUGGUAUAUGAUUAAUAUAGUACAAUCUAAGAAAUAAUAAUUGGUUUCCCAGAAGCAUUCUCUCCUGACAUUUCGCCCACAUCUCUUAUGCAACUUUUGAUUUAGCACUAAAAUGUGACAUAAUACUAAUAAUAUAACAUACUAGGGGUGUAUUAUAGACAUUGUGGUAUAUGAUUAACAUAGUACAAUCUAAGAAAUAACAAUUGGUUUCCCAGAAGCAUUCUCUCCUGACGUUUCGCCCACAUCUCUUAUGCAACUUUAUGAUUUAGCACUAA
rnacentral:lncRNA from 11 species